rnacentral:rRNA from 1 species
UCUGGUUGAUCCUGCCAGUAGUCAUAUGCUUGUCUCAAAUAUUAAGCCAUGCAUGUCUAAGUAUAAAUAGUAUACAGUGAAACUGCGAAUGGCUCAUUAAAACAGUUAUAGUUUAUUUGAUAAUUGACAAUUACAUGGAUAACCGUGGUAAUUCUGGAGCUAAUACAUGCUUAAACGCCCGACUUAUGGAAGGGUGGUAUUUAUUAGACUGAAGCCAAUAUUCCUUGUGUCUAUUGCGGUGAUUCAUAAUAACUGAUCGAAUCUCUUUUUGAGAUAAAUCAUUCAAGUUUCUGCCCUAUCAGCUUUCGAUGGUAGUGUACUGGACUACCAUGGCAGUAACGGGUAACGAAGAAUUAGGGUUCGAUUUCGGAGAGGGAGCAUGAGAAACGGCUACCACAUCUAAGGAAGGCAGCAGGCGCGUAAAUUACCCAAUCCUGACUCAGGGAGGUAGUGACAAGAAAUAGCAAACCGGGAACCUCAUGGUUUCACGGUAUUGCAAUGAGAACAAUUUAAAACCCUUAGCGAGAAUCAAGUGGAGGACAAGUCUGGUGCCAGCACCCGCGGUAAUUCCAGCUCCACUAGCGUAUAUUAAAGUUGUUGCAGUUAAAAAGCUCGUAGUUGAACCUCUGUCUGGGGCUAGUUUUGGCUUUGGUCAGGUUAGUUCUAGGCAUCUGCCUACAAGACUUAGAGGGCAUUCAGUUGUUCACUAGGAGGAGUAGGCAUUUUACUUUGAAAAAAUUAGGGUGUUUAAGGCAGGCAAUCGCCCGCAUAUAUUAGCAUGGAAUAAUAGAAUAGGACACUUUUCCAUUUCGUUGGUUAUUGGAAUCGUGUAAUGAUUAAUAGGGACAGUUGUGGGCAUUUGUAUUUGAUUGUCAGAGGUGAAAUUCUUGGAUUUAUUAAAGACAAACUAACGCGAAAGCAUUUGCCAAGGAUGUUUUCAUUAAUCAAGAACGAAAGUUAGGGGAUCAAAGACGAUCAGAUACCGUCCUAGUCUUAACUAUAAACUAUUCCGACUCAAUGUUUGACUGGCUUAUAUAACCAGUUGAGCGUUGUAUGAGAAAUCAAAGUCUUUAGGUUCUGGGGGGAGUAUGGUUGCAAAGCUGAAACUUAAAGGAAUUGACGGAAGAGCACAACCAGGAGUGGAUUCUGCGGUUUAAUUUGACUCAACACGGGGAAACUUACCAGGUUAAAACAUUAGUGGGAUUGACAGUUUGAGAGCGCUUUCUUGAUUGGUUGGGUGGUGGUGCAUGGCCGUUCUUAGUUGGUGGAGUGAUUUGUCUGCUUAGUUGCGUUAACGAACGAGACCUUAACCUGCUUACUAGACUGGCGAUCAUCAAUCGUUAGCUCUUCUUAGAGGGACUUUGGUUGUUUUAACUCCAAGGAAGUUC